AGAGUUUGAUCCUGGCUCAGGAUGAACGCUAGCGAUAGGCUUAACACAUGCAAGUCGAGGGGCAGCAUGGUCUUAGCUUGCUAAGACUGAUGGCGACCGGCGCACGGGUGCGUAACGCGUAUGCAACUUGCCUCACAGAGGGGGAUAACCCGUCGAAAGACGGACUAAUACCGCGUACACUCUAUGUUGGGCAUCCAAUGUAGAGGAAAUGAAAUUCGCUGUGAGAUAGGCAUGCGUCCCAUUAGCUAGUUGGUGAGGUAACGGCUCACCAAGGCGACGAUGGGUAGGGGAACUGAGAGGUUGAACCCCCACACUGGUACUGAGACACGGACCAGACUCCUACGGGAGGCAGCAGUGAGGAAUAUUGGUCAAUGGGCGAGAGCCUGAACCAGCCAAGUCGCGUGAAGGAUGACUGUCUUAUGGAUUGUAAACUUCUUUUAUACGGGAAUAACAAGAGCCACGUGUGGCUCCCUGCAUGUACCGUAUGAAUAAGCAUCGGCUAACUCCGUGCCAGCAGCCGCGGUAAUACGGAGGAUGCGAGCGUUAUCCGGAUUUAUUGGGUUUAAAGGGUGCGUAGGCGGCCUGUUAAGUCGGCGGUGAAAUCUAGGAGCUUAACUCCUAAAUUGCCAUUGAUACUGGCGGGCUUGAGUGUAGAUGAGGUAGGCGGAAUGCGUGGUGUAGCGGUGGAAUGCAUAGAUAUCACGCAGAACUCCGAUUGCGAAGGCAGCUUACUAAGGUACAACUGACGCUGAAGCACGAAAGCGUGGGUAUCAAACAGGAUUAGAUACCCUGGUAGUCCACGCAGUAAACCAUAAAAGCUGGGCGUAUGCGAUAUACAGUAUGCUCUUAAGCGAAAAGCGUUAAGUUAUCCACCUGGGGAGUACGCCGGCAACGGUGAAACUCAAAGGAAUUGACGGGGACCCGCACAAGCGGUGGAGCAUGUGGUUUAAUUUGAAGCAACGCGAAGAACCUUACCAAGUCUUGACAUACUGUGAGGACACAAGAGAUUGUGUUGUUCUGACCUUUGGUUAGACACAGAUACAGGUGGUGCAUGGUUGUCGUCAGCUCGUGUCGUGAGAUGAUGGGUUAAGUCCCGCAACGAGCGCAACCCCUAUGUCUAGUUGCCAGCAGUAAGAUGGGGACUCUAGACAGACUGCCAGUGAUAAACUGGAGGAAGGCGGGGAUGACGUCAAAUCAGCACGGCCCUUACGUCCGGGGCUACACACGUGUUACAAUGGCCGGUACAGAGGGAUGGUGUAAUGCAAAUUGCAUCAAAUCUUGAAAGCCGGUCCCAGUUCGGACUGGGGUCUGCAACCCGACCCCACGAAGCUGGAUUCGCUAGUAAUCGCGCAUCAGCCAUGGCGCGGUGAAUAAGUUCCCGGGCCUUGUACUCACCGCCCGUCA
rnacentral:rRNA from 1 species